rnacentral:lncRNA from 1 species
GGAUUUUAACCAGCUGCUCCCAAACUCCAGCAACACUUAAACUCUACAGGUGUUAUACAUUAAAAUAUAUAUAUAUGCAUAUAUAUAUAUAUAUAUAUAUAUAUGCAGAUUUUAGUUUAGAGCUCCCCUGUAGCUAUGAAGUGGUGCAGCUGGAUGUGGUGAGCUGACCUGGGCUCGCUGGGGCCUCGCCUUGAUGGCGUUCAAAGCCGGGGCCUGUAGGCCUGGCCUUUGGGCCUGGUUUUGUAGCAGCCAUAGCGGGCUGCCCCUCUUCUAUCAUGCAGGAACGGCUUGUUUCUGGGACCACGAUCCAGUUUUGCAUGACUUUUGGAUCCAGACUUCUGCCUCCACAGUUUCCCCUUCCUUCUGAGAAAGGGCUUAUAAAUAGGAUUGCAGAAGUCAGCUGCUAUCUCUGCAUCUCUUCAGUUAAGAACUGAAGAGCAUCCUUGAGGAAUAUUAUUU